UUUUUGCUGACUGUAUAGAGCUUCUCCAUCUUUGACUACAAAGAACAUAACCAGUCUGAUUUCGGUGUUGACCAUCUGGUGAUGUCCAUAUGUAGAAUCAGAGCUCUUCACUGUGACCUGUUCAUCUUGGGUAUUCGUGCACUCCAUGACUCAUAGCUUCAUUUAGUUAUGCAAACCCCUUUGCCAUGACAAGGCUGUGGUCCCUGAAGUAGGGUGGUGGAUUGGGGGGUUGUUAUUGAAUGCUCCAGUUUUCAGAAAAAUACAAGCUACUUGGCAUUGCUGAUCUUCUGUGCUCUUUCUCUUCCAUUUGGGCCACAUUGGUCCCAAGAGAAGACAGAAAGAAUCUAAGGAAAUAAUAUAGUGACUUUUUGUUUAUAGUGCACCCUACCCUCUACUUUCUUCUUUCCACCUUCUCAGCCUCAGAUCAGCUUUCAACCGUGAUGAAUAGGAAGAAUGAAGAAAAAGCAAGUAGCACAAGUAAGGCGAAAUCAGGAGUAUUCGCCUGGUGAGUAUGGUGAGUAUUCUUGAACAUAUUGGGAAAAUCAUGCAGAAUUAAUUUACAUCCUUUAUAAACCAGUUCUGAAAUAAGCACCUACAGGAAGGACAAAAUGCUAGCCCCCCCACAAUGGUUCUUAGCUUCCAGCUGUUAGUUGGGUUCCAUUACAUUAUUAUUUUUGGUUAUAAAAGCUAUACAUGCUCAUUAUAGAAAGCACACUGGAAAAUAUAGCUGACAAAGAAAAAUUUAUGUGUAAUUCUACCAUCUGGAAAUAGCCAAUUUAGCUCUUUUGUGAAAAUGUUUCACUUUUGAAUGUAUUUAUAUGUAGAUGUGUGUGUGUCUAAACAAAUUUGGAUCAUAGUGUAUGUCUAGGUUAUCCUGCUUUUUUUUGCUCAACUUUAUAGAGAAUAGUUUCCCAUGCCAUUAGAAAUUCUUUAAACUUUUAAUGACAGCUGUAUGGUAUUAUUCCUUUAGAAUUCCUUCACUUCUUGAGGUAGACCAAGGGAUGGGGCCAGGAGAUGGCCGAUAAUGGAAAGAAUGAUCAUGGGCUCUUGUACCAGAAAUUUGCUUAAGAAAAGCAAUCUGAUGCUUAUUAUUUCUUUUAACUAUUAAUAAACAAAAGCC
rnacentral:lncRNA from 1 species